rnacentral:rRNA from 1 species
UACGUAGGGUGCGAGCGCUAAUCGGAAUUACUGGGCGUAAAGCGUGCGCAGGCGGUUUUGUAAGCCAGAUGUGAAAUCCCCGGGCUUAACCUGGGAAUGGCAUUUGGGACUGCAAGGCUGGAGUGCGGCAGAGGAGACUGGAAUUCCUGGUGUAGCAGUGAAAUGCGUAGAUAUCAGGAGGAACACCGAUGGCGAAGGCAGGUCUCUGGGCUGACACUGACGCUCAUGCACGAAAGCGUGGGGAGCAAACAGG